rnacentral:lncRNA from 1 species
AAAUCAACAAUAUGGAUAAAUAAGCUGCAACUGCUAUAAUAUGCACCGUGAAGUUGUUUACGAUGUUCUCUGUAGUAACCGCGAUGAUCUUAGGGUAUCUGAUGUGGUGCGGAUGUGAUUUUCCUGCUCCAGUUGAAAUAACAGAAAAAAUUACUCCAGUCGAUAGAGCGGGAAUGCAACAAUUGUUUGUUGUGUUUAUGUAUCACCCGUCCCGCCUUAUAGGCCAAGACAACGUGUUAAUCAUCUGGUUCCGCCAAAACGCUUAUUUCUUUAAACAUUCAAAACUUGUUACACGUCUCAUAAAGCUUAUUAACCUGAGAGAAAAGAAAAAAGGGUGAACACAAUGGCGAAAUUCUAAUCACACUCAACAAUCAGUGCAUAGCAUAGAAUCAGACUCCACAUUCUCAAAUAUACGUCUAACAAACAUACACAUUCUUACAUUAGUCCAAGCAUGCAUAUACAAAAUAAUCCAUAACACUAAAGCUAAACCGAAAUCCCAUCGGCUUAGCAUGGCACGAAACCAAUCCCAGGUUCGUCCAAUCGCCAAGCACGAAACCAAUCCCAGGUUCGUCCAAUUACCAGAUACGAAAUCAAUCUCAGGUUCGCCCAUCACGAGACACAAAACCAAUCCCAGGUUCACACCAACUCACAUCAUAUCAUCAUACACCAUCAUGUUAUAUAUAAAAUCUACAUAUUAUACAUCAAAUCAUUCUACCAUAUCACACAAUAUCAAUCAACAAACAUACAAAUAAACACGUAGUUUCUAAGCCUAUACAAGCAAUUCAUGAAGAACAUGCUUAAAAAAUAACCAUUGUUUUUCCACGAUUACCACCCUCACCUUAGCCUUAACUUGUCGGAAAUGCUAUGGUUCGAACAUGGAUUUCAAGCUUGGUUCUCCAUCAACCAAGCUCAUUUGACAAUCAAACAAUAGAAGUUGUCACCAAUUUGUCACCAUUAACUCUAUAACGAACUGUCUCAAAAACACAUGAAUAAAAUAAUAACUAACCGUUCAAAACUCAAUCCCACCGUUGAAUCUGUAGGCUGUAGUGCCAUGAAUAACUCCACCAAUUUUCAGGCAGAUCGGACUUUAUAUGAGCCUCACACGUUCUGAUGAAGAUGCUGCAUCAGAACUGAUUUCUAGGGUUUCAGACUUCACCAUUUUUUGACAGGAUCACUGGUUUCUUGUGUAGAAAGCAACGUGCAUAACUUCAUGAAUAUGACCCCGAUUUAAGAUCUGUAAAUUUCUAUGUAAUCAUGGGUUGCUAAUGAACUACUCAGUACCUUUAACUUCUCAGACCAACAUAAGAUACGACGCACGCGAGCUUCCAAACAUG